GGGAGUGCGGAAUCCCAUAGAAGUCUAUGGGCUUUAAUUUGAGGCGGAAACCCGCCGUGUGAAUAGACCCUAAGAAUGAAAGGAUUGGGGAGUUGACAUUCACCAUUGCCUGAUCUUUCUUUUCCCUGACAUUAUCUGUUGGGGAAGAGUUAGGUUAGUUCUGUCAGAAUCGGCAGGUUCCCUCGACACGUAUCCAACGUAUGUGACCAGAUUAAAGGUUUUUCUUUCUUUCUUUAUUUCCAUCUCUAUGGAAAUGUUGACUUGCUGGUCUGGUAGUAUGACCCCCUAGGAGUUGGGGACCUGUCAAAUAGAAAAAAAAUUGGUUGUCCAGUUUGGAGUUACCCUUUAGGCUUUGGCUAUAUUUACCUAUGUAAAUAUAAUUCAGGAAAGAGACUUUGCACCCAUGAAUCUUUGGGGGAGUUUAGGUGGUCAGUUUAAAAGACUGGCUCCAUGAGUCUUCGAGGAGCUUGGGUGGUUGAUUCAAAAGAUUGCACCCAUGAGUCUUUGGGAAGCUUAGGUGGGUAAUUCAAAAGAUUGCACCCAUGAGUCCUUGAGUAUCUUAGAUGGUUAAUUCAAAAGAUUGCACCCAUGAGACUUUGGCGAGUUUAGGUGGGUAAUUCAAAAGAUUGAAUCCAUGAGUCCUUGAGUAUCUUAGGUGGUUGAUUCAAAAGAUUGCACCCAUGAGUCCUUGAGGAGCGUAGGUGGUUAAUUCAAAAUAUUGCACCAAUUAAUUCUUCAGGGAGCUUAGGUGGUUAAUUCAAAAGAUUGCACCCAUGUGUCCUUAAGGAGCGAAGGUGGUCAAUUCAAAAUAUUGCACCAAUGAAUUCUUCAUGGAGCUUAGGUGGUUGAUUCAAAAAAUUGCACGCAUGAGACUUUGGGGAGUUUAGGUGGUUAAAGGGGUUGUCCAGGAUUAGAAAAAAGUUGCUUGCUGUAGACAAGAGUGAUGCUGUUUUUCCAAAGAAGCAGUGUUUUUCUAAUCCUGGACAAACAUUUUUAAUACACAAGAUUUCACCCAUGAGACUUUGGGGAGUUUAGUUGGUGGUUAAUUCUUCAUAUCAGGAGGGGGGGGGGGGGUGUUUUUUUUUAUUCUUUUUUAAUCCAUAAUAAAUGUGAAUUCCCAAAGGAUAAUCUCAUCUCGUGGAAUGUAAUAAGAUAAAUACUUUUGUGUUUUUUCUACUGACAUUUUUUGUUUUUACUGCAUUAAAUCCUGUAUUCUCUUCGUGGAGAUUUGUAUAUCACGUCCUCGGGAACGUUCUCCGUCCGUUUUCUGCGGCUGGAGCGGCGUACGAUGCGUUUACAGAGAAAGUAUAAUAGAGUUUUUAUUACGCACAAAGAAAUGGGAGUAUUAAUAAAUGGCUUUUUAUUGUAUAAAGGGAAUUGUCAGUAAUGUUACUGUGUGCCGUGCCUUCAUCUCAUGUAACGGGAUUAAUAAACAUUCUUGGGUUUGUAAA